AUGUCCAGCGGUCUCCAGUCGGCGUCGGACGUGAAGGUCAGUCGCUGCUCCCCAUCCAGGUCGCGGCACCUCAGCGCCAGCCGAAGGAGCCGCUCUGCCUGCACCCUCGGCCAGCUGCCGGCAGAUGCAUCCAACAGGCCAUGCACCGCAUCCCUCCUGAGCAGGGUAAGGAUAAAGGAUGUCCAGAAGCCUGAGCUCUAAAAAUCCACGUCCGCCAGGAUCACCACACCGAACGCGUAGACGUCUGACUUCGUGGUGAGCUCGCCAGUCAUGAAGAAGAUUGGGUCCAUGUACCCCAUCGUGCCUAUCGGGUUCGUCCGCUGGCAGAUUGUGUCCUCCUCUAGCGGUUUCAUCUGCACAAUGCAUGCGUGCCGUGCCGAUGGCCCCUAGGGGCUCACGUUCCGUGCGUCAAGGAGGAUGUUCGCAGCUUCAGAACCGGCGUGGAUGAUGGCGCGGGGGCGGCUGGAGUGGAGGUGCGCUAGCGCGGAACGCUGCUCAGCGAGGAUCCUGAUACAGCCCUUCCAUGAGAGCCCCUUGGAGAGCCCAUCCAUGAACGUGCCAUUGGGGAGGUGCUCGUAAAUGAGGGUGUAUGAUUCCCGGCACACGCCAAUCAGCCUCACCAUAUGUGGGUGCUCGGUUCUGCUCAGUACUACAGUUCAGAUAGAACUACUUGCUUUUGUUUAG
rnacentral:rRNA from 1 species